ensembl:lncRNA
GGCAGUCUUUCAGAAAGAGAGUGCCCAGACUUGCCAUUGUUUGUGAAAUAGUCUCCAAGCAAGAAGGGCCUGCAAUGGCCCAGCUGGGCUGGCCCUCCUUGUUCAGUCUCUGCCCUGCUGCCUGACACUACUGAUAGUGAAAGCUGGCUGAGCCCUGCUCUGCUGAUAGCGAUGUGAGGCACCAUUUAGCAGAAGUUUCCUGAUGCAGAGCUUUUAGAGAAUUCACGGACUUGCUCUGUCAUCUUCAUCAAAAGAUGUUUCCUUUUGCUGAGUCAGAAGAAGUAAAUUGGAUCUGGACCAGAAACUAAUGAAUGGGAAAGCAAGACUUCAGUUUUCUCAAUGGACAUACUAAUUCAGCAGAACCAGAAGAUUUCCAUGGAGCAAGAAAUCUAACAUGAUCUUUCUAAACUUUAUCAAUCAUUCACGGUCCUCACCAAGGGUCAUAUAGUGUGGAGAACAGGAGGAAGACAAGGGAGAUAGGAAAGAGACAAAGGGUGAAAAAAUUAAAUGAGAAAAAGAAAGUCAGUUAGUGGCUUCCUGUGAUUUUCUCAUUAUCACCCUUUCUUUCCAACUAUUUUUUAAAUUUUCUCUUUAGCCUCAUCAGAUAAUCCAGAUAUCAUCAAGUUUCACUGGAAAUCCUUGGUCACCCAUAUGCAGGGGACAAAAGAGGAAGAGACAAGUAUAUAUAAGUAAACCCUAUUUUUCAGCUUUCGGACUAUAGAUGCCUCAAUGGUUAAUAUUGAAACUGUGGAUUUUAAAUGCUCAUUUCAUUUGGUUGUCAGUCAUCUACAGAACAUCUGCCAUGAGCUAAGAAUUCUGCUGUACACUCUAAGAGACAUGAGUAUGAAGGAGACAUAGUCUUGCCUCUAAAAAUUUACAAGUUAAUAAGAGAGAGGGAAUAUAUUCCUCCUGGUUGCAAAAUUCUAAGACAUUUCACACUAACAAUCAUAACACAGAGAAGAAUCAGAUAGGGGCCCUAAGAGAAAUUCAACCUGAGUGUUAUGGGAGUCCAAGAAGGAGUAUGUCAUUUCUCAGUGGCAGGAGCCAAGAAAUCUUCAUCAAAGUGGUGGGAUCUUGAGCUGGGGCUUGGAGGGUAGAAAAGACUUAAACUGUAAGAGGAUACUGAAGAGUAAGCCUCCUGAGAAAAAGGAAACGGCUCAAAGGCACAAGAAUAAAGAUCUGCUUGGGAAAGAGCAAGUGGACCAGCUUGGCUAUAGCAUGGGAUAGAUAAAUGACAAGAAAUGCACAGCUGGAAAAUUUUGUUGGAAGCCAAAUUGCAGAGCAUCUAAAAUGAUGAACCAGAAAGCUUGGUCUCAAUUCUCUAGGUAAUGUACAGACACUGAAAAUUUUUUGAGGGCUGGCCUUUAGGUAGAUCAACCGGCCACAAUGAAUUGGAGUGAAAGACACUAGAGGAAGGGAUCAGCAUCUCAGGAUGAGCUAAAUGAGUGUAAAAGCACCCGCAGUGAGAAUGGAAAGGAGGCAGAUUCACUAGGCAUUGAGGAUGCAGAAAGGGCAGGAAUAAUUUGGGGUGAAGGUUGAAGGAGCAUUUCCUAGGGUACUUGUGAUGAAAACAAAAUUCCACUCUGUCAAAUGGAUGCCUGGAAGCAUGAGAUUUUGAACUUACUACUGAGAUGGUUUUACCACUGCCUGAUAUUGGUUGGUUGGUUGAAUAAUUUUGCUUGUUGUAGGUUAAGGAUAUAUGUGGGUUUUUUUUUUUAUUGUAUUGUCCCUUCUGUGUCUUUUAUGGUCUAGAAAGACCAGAAUAAACAAACAGACAUUAGAUAUCACAAACCCAGACCAAAGAUCAGAGGAGGUCUCAUCAUCUCCUUCUUGGUGUGUAAAUACAGCAAGAAAUACAUAGUGGUGGACGCAUGGCUAUUAAUAUAAAGGAGACAAUCUAUUACAAACUGUCCAAAUCAAUAAUUAUACUUUACCAUGUCCCUCCUAUGUGUCAAAUUAUAUUCCUGUCCCCAUCCAUUUUUAUAUCAGAGAUUCUUUUUAAAAAUUGACUUCAUUGAAUUGGUAAAGAACUUGCUUAUGGAAGGUCUUCUAUUAAUAAGGGUGCAAUCUUCACAGUCUCUACCACUUAUUCACUGAGCAGCCUCAAUCACCUAGUCAGAUGCUAUACAACUUGGGGGCAGAUAAUAAUCGCCCUUUCACCUUAUUUAGCUACUAAUGCAAACACAUUGUGACCAUCUUCUUCAGACAGUCUUCCCAGAUAAACUAGAAGAGACCUGACUCCAUGUCAUUCUCAGAGAGCUCUCUAUCUGAUUUUGAUUUUAUUUUUUCCUGCACUCAUUCUUCUGGCUACCCACCCCCUACCUCAGCAAACAUUUAGUGAGCACUUGGUAUAUGCCCAGCACUGGGCGCAGGGAUGCAGAUUCAAAGAUAAAAGGCAACAAUCCUUCACUUUGUGUAAAUAUUAAUGUAAGGAACUCAUUUGCCCUCUGGAACACCUCACCUUGAAGACAGGAACCAUCUCUACCUAAACUUGGUGUCAUCUAAACAUUAGCUCUCCAUAGUGGUUAAGCACGUGGACUGCGGAGCCCUAGAGUAGGAGGGUGGCCAGUGCCAGCUGGGCACGUACCAGCCGUGAACCUGGUGAGUUAUUUAAACUUCUGAGUCUCAGUUUCCUCCUCUGUAAAAUGGGCGUGAUAAUACUAGUAUCUACCUCAUAGGGUGGGCUCUGGUAAGAAUUAAAUGAGACAAUUAAUGCAAGGAGUUUAGGAGAGCACCUGCUGUACACUAGAAAACAUGAUAAAAACGAUCAUUAAUUGUAUUUUUUUUUAGGGAGGGGCUGUUCUAAAGGGAUGUCCAUUGGGGGAAAUAACAGUUCAGGGUGGCAGCGGCUUCUCAGUGUCUGGGCAGUUACAGAGCGAGGAGAGAAAUCUUCGUUCAGUAGCGAAGUGGUUUUAUUUCCUGUCCAAAAUGCGAGCAUCCCUCUCUUCCUGUUUGGUGUAAUUGACCAUGUGAGCCAGGGCUUGAGAGCUCGCCCUACAGGCCUUCCCGUCUCCAACUUAAGGUUUCUUUUACCAAUUUCCACACAGUCCCUAGUCUUCCUUGGCCCCUAAAUCUUGGAUCAUCUCUUUUUUUUUUGAGGAAGGUUAGCCCUGAGCUAACAUCUGCUGCCAAUCCUCCUCUUUUUGCUGAGGAAGACUGGCCCUGAGCUAACAUCCAUGCCCAUCUUCCUCUAUUUUAUAUGUGGGACACCUACCACGGCAUGGCUUGCCAAGCAGAUGCCAUGUCCGGACCCGGGAUCCGAGCCAGCGAAGCCCAGGCAGCUAAAGUGGAACUUGGGCACUUAACCGCUGCACCACCGGGCCGGCCCCCAUUAAUUGUAUUAAUGUCUGACCCAUGAUCAGUCUGCAAAUGGCCACCAGUAGCUGUAAUGGUGACUGUCCUUUAAGCAAGGAAGAAUAUACUUAAAAGAGUUGCUAGCACUUCAGAGAAAGGUCUAGGAGGCAAUGUCCAUUUCAGUUUGCAUGUCACAAGAACAAUUCUUCUUUAGCCUGUAUGUCAUGUUUUCUGUUUUCUUUCUCUCAUUUUCUUAUACCAGAAAAUUUUAUCUGUUCCCGAUGUUCGUUCCCUAUUUAAACACACAGCAUUCAGUUGGUGAAGCCAGAAGUUCUCUGCCAAUGCUGUCACCACCCAGGUCUGUGGUGCUGAAGGCCCAAUCUGAAGCAAGAAGUGACACAAAACCACUGCUGCUCCAUCCAGAGAGAGUUGCUGGUAUGCAAGGCGGGUUGCAGGAUUGAGCCCCCAGUGAGGAAUAAGUAACAGAAACCAUAGAAGGCAAAUAAAAUAGAAAUGUGUUUCUCAUGCAAACACUCAGAGCAGUUAAAACUAAAAUAAAGGAAAGAAUGAAAUAAAAUAGAAAAUUGUGGAGGGGAUUUGGUGAAACACUUUAAAAUCAAAGACCAUGCUUUCCUUUCCUUAUUCUGUGAGAUGCUAGAUCACUGCUUAGAUGAAUUUACAGCUGUUUCCAACAUUUAUGUGAAACACAACAAAGAGCUGGACUCUGGUUGCUGAGCAGGCUAUACCCCAGGAGGUCGGAAUGCAUCACUAAUUAAAGGGAGGCUGCAGAUAUUGGUAAUCUGGGAGCUGCAGGCACCCCAUACAUGUACCUCUCCGAGCCAGAGCAGGUUGCAUCUAAUAAGGUUUUCAAGGUGACUCUGUAUUUCUUCAAUGCUCCUCACCCUCAACUUCCUCACAGGCAUUUCUAGCCAGUUACUCCACAUUCCAGGGAAGGCAUGAUCUCCUUCAAACACCAUGCCUAUUUCUCGAACAUUAUCCGCAGAAACAAAUUUAGCUUUGUACAUUACAUCAUCACCUCACUGCAGAUUACAGACCCAGAAACUAUCUCCCACAUGGACUAAGGUGAUCCGGGGAGCCUGGGGCACCAUUCUGUCCAAAUUGGAAGGGGGCAGAGCUUCUUGCUGAGCAGAUGGUCUUGAGCCCAGCAGAUCUAGGAAUUCCAUUUUAUUUUUGCCUUUAAACAUGCAGAUAGGAAUAUCAGACCCAGAAGCUUUCCGUGCUGCACAAUUUAUGCUAGCUCAUUACCUCCUGCUACACUCCAAGGCUCUGUAACGGAAAUUGGCUCUGAUUUCUGAGAUGGGCAUUACAUCAUAGUCUUCUUUUAGCACAUUAUGUCAUCCCUGCUGAGACCCAUUAUCUAGGGUUGGCUCAGCAGUAGCGAUUUUUGUGGGCCGACUGCAGCGUUCCCAAAGAACUGCUGGGAACCACAGAUUGCAAUCUAAAACAUUUAUCUUCUAAAAAACUGAAAAUGGAGAAAGAUGUUCACAUCGGACCCCAUUUAUUUUCCUUAACCCUCUGCUGUCUGAGAGCCUUUUAGAGUACAUUGCGGCAAAUGCCAAUGAGCAUGUGCGGAGCCUGUGCAGAGACGAUCAUCUCGAGAUAACCACUGCUAAGGGUGCCUGGAAUAUCGCUCCUCAUCGAGGGCUGAUAUACUCUACACUUGCCAUGAUUCUGUCUCAAGGGAUGUUACGAAAUGCUUAAAAGGAGUCACCUUGCAUGCUCACAGUGACAACGAGCACCCUGCCUAAUUCUUGGCUUAUUUAAGAAAAAAAUUUCUUCUCAUGAUCUGUUUAUACAGAUAUAAAUAAAAACUAUGUACAUACAUGUAGUUUUUAUUUAUAUAUAUAUGUAUUUAUAUAUACACGCUUAUCCUCCUAACCAUGUUGCAGUCACAAAGGCAAACUUCUAGAAGAUUUGUAUUAGAAAUAAUUUUAUGCAGAGAACUGAGCUGAUAUUAUCUCUUCUCACUUCAAUCAUGAAAUUAGAAGCCCGUUCUGUAUCUCUCCAUCCUAGGCAGGAUUAGAAACCAUUGCACAGAGGGAAUAGACGGGAGCUCUCAGGAUGAAGCAAAGAUAUUCCCAGACCCUUGAGAAUCCCCAUACCUCUCUCAUCACAAAAGCAUAAAUAUGAUAAUAAAAAAAGUCUCUACAUCCCGAAAUGAGAUGAGAUACAUUCAACCAUGGCUAAAUUACAAUCCCCCUUACCCACCGACUAAUGAGACUCAUUGGGAGGGAAGUAAGUGCUGGGGGAGGGGUUAGAAAGGAGGCUAUGAUAUUCCCUUCCCCCAUCCAAUCAUGCUGCAUUUUGUUUUUCCACGGAUUUUUUUUAACCGUGAAUACUUUUAUGCUCUCAGUUUCUUUUUGUGGCUCUCAAAUGGCAGCCGCAUCCAAACAAACAACUUCAUAAUUAAAAUGGAGGUAAGUAAAGCUAUCAUUUGGCCCCAUCCCAGAGCCUUGCUCCUACUUCCACCCUCAGUGAUUUUCCAUCAUGUUCUUUUCUAGCGCUCUCCUCUACACCCAGUGGAUCAUAACGCAAGAUGGCAGCCUUCAUCCUUCACUCAGCCCGGGGCAAGGCCAUAUGGUAUUCCACUAACCAACCAAUACCUGUUCAUUGUGGAUCUCGCGCACUAACCCUGGGAUCUUUGACAGCAGUGCUGUUUCUUCCACAUGCUGUUUCUUCCACAUCAAUGGACCUUCAGCACCUACCACAGUGCCAGAAAUACCUCCUGAUCAACUACUACAAAUUGGGUGUCGUGCUAGGCACUGAGCGGGCACCACAGACCAAGGCACAGACCCCACCUUAGCGGAGAAAUCAACUCAGAGUGGAAAAAACCCACAUGGUUAAACAAUCUCCACUACGAAUUGCUUGCCUGUCAUGAGUAAUACAGUCACCUGGCAUUUCCCACCAAAAUACUAAAAGAUUCCUAUGAUUUAAAAGAAAAUGAAAACAGAGCCAGCCCUGAUGGUCUAGCCAUUAAAGUUGGGCAUUCUCACUGCUUCAGUGUCCUGGGUUCAUUUCCUGGUCCUGGAACCACACCAUCCAUCUGUCAGUUUCCAUGCUGUGGUGGCGACUCACAUAGGAGAACGAGAAGAACUUACAACUAGGAUAUACAACCAUGCACUGGGCCUUUGUGCAGGAAAAAAAAAAGAGAAAGAUUGGCACCAGAUGUUAACUCAGGAUGAAUCUUUCGAAAUAAAGAAAACAAAAAUAAAAGCGUGAGUUAGAACAAAAUCUGCCAAAUUGAUUUAGCUUUCAACAAACCAUUGCACACUUUAGACGUCCAAAAGUUGGCCAACUGUUACUUUUAUCAGAAACUCAGAUCUAAUGGGUAGACUGGCUGGGUCACUAGACCUUUACUGCAAACCCAUCUGACAAUGGAGAGCAGUGAGAGAAGCACUGGAUGCAAGAGCAGGGGACCAGGUUUCUUGUCGUGUCCUCACCAUCUUGAGCAAGUCACAUGCACUCUCUCGGCUUGUCUUUCUUCAUUCGUAAUAUGACCACGUGAGCUUGGUGGUCUCUAAGCUUCCUUCCCU